GACGAACGCUGGCGGCGUGCUUAACACAUGCAAGUCGAACGGAAAGGCCCUGCUUUUGUGGGGUGCUCGAGUGGCGAACGGGUGAGUAACACGUGAGUAACCUGCCCUUGACUUUGGGAUAACUUAAGGAAACUGGGGCAAAUACGGGAAAGGAGUUCCGGCUGCAGGGGGGGGGUGGGAAGGUUUCGGCGGUGGGGGAUGGACUCGCGGCUUAUCAGCUGGUUGGUGGGGUAGUGGCUUACCAAGCCUUUGACGGGUAGCCGGCCUGAGAGGGUGACCGGCCACAUUGGGACUGAGAUACGGCCCAGACUCCUACGGGAGGCAGCAGUGGGGAAUAUUGCACAAUGGGCGGAAGCCUGAUGCAGCAACGCCGCGUGCGGGAUGACGGCCUUCGGGUUGUAAACCGCUUUCGCCUGUGACGAAGCGUGAGUGACGGUAAUGGGUAAAGAAGCACCGGCUAACUACGUG
rnacentral:rRNA from 1 species